rnacentral:rRNA from 1 species
UACGGGGGGGGCAAGCGUUGUUCGGAGUUACUGGGCGUAAAGGGCGUGCAGGUGGUCUGUUAAGUCUGGCGUGAAAGCUCUCGGCUAAACCGGGAGAGGUCGUUGGAUACUGGCGGACUAGAGGACGGUAGAGGCGUGUGGAAUUCCGGGUGUAGUGGUGAAAUGCGUAGAGAUCCGGAGGAACACCAGUGGCGAAGGCGACACGCUGGGCCGUACCUGACACUAAAACGCGACAGCAUGGGGAGCGAACGGG